CAUAUGCUGGUGUCCUUGCAGCCUCAAUGAAACCUCCCAUCCUGCAAGAUUUGGUUAGCUCAAGUACUCCCACCCUGGGAUGCUUCUUAAAAGAGCUAAACUGAUACUGUGAGACAGACGAGCAGACAGAUAGCAAGAAUAAGCAAGGUUGGGCACAGGAUCACUGAAGAAGACCCCAAGUUGUCAAAAAAUGAUUGCAUGUAGUAUAUCUGGACUGUAGUAUAUGCAUGUAGUAUAUCCGGACUGCUAGAGAACAACAAAAAGACCUCUACCAAGCUACUGUUCAGGAGAACAGCCACAACAAACCAGUGCCAGUCUGCCAGUUCAGGCAACAGGCUUGCUUGCUGUGAGGAUAUUUGCCUUUCCCUAGCACCAAGAUCACCAACGCCUGUGAGAGGGAUAUUAAUCAUGCACCACCUGACUGAUCACCAUCCAAUUUCAGCCCUUAUGGAAGCUCAAGUUUUUAUGAAAUGACACGAAAGGAUGAAGCUGG
ensembl:lncRNA